rnacentral:rRNA from 1 species
AACGAACGCUGGCGGCAGGCUUAACACAUGCAAGUCGAACGGCACCUUAGGGAUUACUGGCUGUCGCGUGAGUCACGUGUCGGACGGUACACGUUUCUACCGAAUUCCUCAGGGUAACUUGAGAUAAUACAGUGUGUGUUAUACUGGGGAAAGAUUUAUCGGCAGAGGAUAGGCACGCGUUGGUUUAGCCUGUUGCUGGAGUAAUGGCCUAUCAAGGAGAAGCUCCAUAGCUGGGCUGAGAGGAUGAGCAGCCACACUGGGACUGAGACACGGCCCAGACUCCUACAGGAGGCAGCAGUGGGUAAUAUUGGACAACGGGCGCAGUCCUGAACCACUCAUGCCUCGUGAGUGAUGUAGGUCUUAAGAUUGUAAAGCUCGUUCACCGGUGAAGAUAAUGACGGUAGCCGAAGAAUAAGCCCCGGCUAACUUCGUG